AGCGAACGCUGGCGGUAGGCCUAACACAUGCAAGUCGAACGGCAGCACAGUAAGAGCUUGCUCUUAUGGGUGGCGAGUGGCGGACGGGUGAGGAAUACAUCGGAAUCUACCUUUUCGUGGGGGAUAACGUAGGGAAACUUACGCUAAUACCGCAUACGACCUGGUGAAGACAGGGGAGUCUUCGGUACCUUGCGCGAUUG
rnacentral:rRNA from 1 species